ensembl:rRNA 5S_rRNA 5S ribosomal RNA
GAUAGCAGCCAUAUCACCCUGCAACUCACAACUGGCAACCCACUGAAGCUAAGCAGGUGUGAGCCUGGUCAGUACCUGGAUGGGAGACCUCCUGGGAAAAACUAAGGUUGCUGCUGGAA